AACGUAGGAGACAAACGUUAUCCGGAGUUACUGGGCGUAAAGGGCGUGUAGGUGGUUUCGUAAGUCUGGCGUGAAAUUUCUCGGCUUAACCGAGGCAGGUCGUCGGAUACUGCGGAACUAGAGGACGGUAGAGGCGUGCGGAAUUCCGGGUGUAGUGGUGAAAUGCGUAGAGAUCCGGAGGAACACCAGUGGCGAAGGCGACACGCUGGGCCGUACCUGACACUGAGGCGCGAUAGCAUGGGGAGCAAACAGG
rnacentral:rRNA from 1 species